rnacentral:tRNA from 1 species
UGCAGUGUAACCUAACGGCAAGGUACUCGGCUCAUAACCGAGAUUAUGCGAGUUCAACUCUCGCCGCUGCGACCA